rnacentral:lncRNA from 1 species
GUGUUUCUGUUCCUGUGGAGUGCAGCUGAAAUGACCGCUACUGCUCCUUCACAGUAUAUUUACAUGAGCUUCCUGUGGACAUCAGCACCAUUUAAAAUUAAGGCUGGAACACAGAUGUGGGGCUGGAAGUGGAGCAGCCCCUUUUAGCCAUGAGGCCCAAAGCCACAUGCUAAGGAUGGUGAAGCAGGGGAUAGAAAGAGCCUGUGUCUUUGCUGACUUCCUUAAGCCACGGCACCAGCCUGGGCCUGCCCUACUCUGGACAUCUAAAUGUGUAAGGAGAAAUAAACUUCAUUCGUUUUA